UAAGGAAUAUUGGACAAUGGAGGCAACUCUGAUCCAGCCAUGCCGCGUGAAGGAAUAAGGCCCUAUGGGUUGUAAACUUCUUUUAGACGGGACAAAACCCCUUUACGUGUAAAGGGUUGAUGGUACUGUCAGAAUAAGCAUCGGCUAACUUCGUGCCAGCAGCCGCGGUAAUACGAAGGAUGCAAGCGUUAUCCGGAAUUAUUGGGUUUAAAGGGUGCGUAGGCGGACUAAUAAGUCAGUGGUGAAAGCCCGCAGCUUAACUGCAGAAUUGCCAUUGAUACUGUUAGUCUUGAGUACAGUUGAGGUAGGCGGAAUGUGUCAUGUAACGGUGAAAUGCUUAGAUAUGACACAGAACACCGAUUGCGAAGGCAGCUUGCUAAGCUGUAACUGACGCUGAGGCACGAAAGCGUGGGGAGCAAACA
rnacentral:rRNA from 1 species